CCUACGGGUGGCACCAGUGGGGAAUAUUGCACAAUGGGCGCAAGCCUGAUGCAGCCAUGCCGCGUGUAUGAAGAAGGCCUUCGGGUUGUAAAGUACUUUCAGUAGGGAGGAAGGCAGUGUCGUUAAUAGCGGCAUUGUUUGACGUUACCUACAGAAGAAGCACCGGCUAACUCCGUGCCAGCAGCCGCGGUAAUACGGAGGGUGCGAGCGUUAAUCGGAAUUACUGGGCGUAAAGCGCAUGCAGGCGGUCUGUUAAGCAAGAUGUGAAAGCCCGGGGCUCAACCUCGGAACAGCAUUUUGAACUGGCAGACUAGAGUCUUGUAGAGGGGGGUAGAAUUUCAGGUGUAGCGGUGAAAUGCGUAGAGAUCUGAAGGAAUACCGGUGGCGAAGGCGGCCCCCUGGACAAUGACUGACGCUCAGAUGCGAAAGCGUGGGGAGCAAACAGGAUUAGAUACCCUCGUAGUC
rnacentral:rRNA from 1 species